rnacentral:rRNA from 1 species
UUAAAUUGAAGAGUUUGAUCAUGGCUCAGAUUGAACGCUGGCGGCAGGCCUAACACAUGCAAGUCGAGCGGUAGCACAGAGAGCUUGCUCUCGGGUGACGAGCGGCGGACGGGUGAGUAAUGUCUGGGAAACUGCCUGAUGGAGGGGGAUAACUACUGGAAACGGUAGCUAAUACCGCAUAACGUCGCAAGACCAAAGUGGGGGACCUUCGG